ensembl:lncRNA
CAGCAACCCUUCAGCCUCACUUUUUCAAGCACCGAGCGUUCCCUUCGAGCGGGGAGACCAGGCUUCCACAACGGAAGUGACUAACCGGAAGUGGUCCCACAGAAGCGGGAGCAUCCGGCUUCACAGGGGUUCUCUGCAGUCUCAGCAAAAGGCACAAAUUCCGAAAGGUUGCUGCCAGUCCUUGAGGGAACUCAGAAGGAGGAGGCUGGAGGUCGGCCUUUCGCGCCUGAUUUUCUCGGUCAUUUCCAGAACCUAGGUCUUAGCGCCAGGCACUGAGUGCCGAAUGCAGAGGGCGGUUUGGACAGUCAGCCAGGUUGGGGCGGCUGAUGGGUGAGCAUCACCCGUUACUGAGAUGCUAGAGCGGCCUGGAUACCACGUGCGCCCACAAAGAGUGCCACAAUCGGCCCUAGGCUGAGCAGUGGGCACAGUGUCCAGUAGAGUCACUGAGUUUUCACUUAAUACAGCUUUCUCUUUCCCAGUGCAAUCUCAUCCUUUCGUGAAGCUUCCUCCCAGAGGAGUCCAGCAGAAAGUGUUUCUGUGCUUUUGUUUUCUACUCACUGUUGCCUUCCUCGCUCCUGCAGCCGUCCCUUUUCAGCCAAAUUGCAUCUAAUACAUUUUUUUAAAGUCAAGUUCCCAUGGAUAUUUCUUUUCUGUUUUUUAACACACACACACCACGGGCUCCUCGGCCUGGCUGUCCGGUCUGUUCUCCUCCUGUAUGGGGUUUAUAGGCCCGUUUACCAUUCUUUCCCUUGAUGGUUCAAGUCUUUCUUAAGCUGCAGAGCUGGCAAGAAAUCUCAGUUAUUAGAAAGAAAGGGGCCUUUUGUUCUUACAGGCAUGAUGGACUUUGAGGAUUUGAGUGUACAUCACUCCCAAGAAGAAUGUGUGAGCUCAGAGCCUGUUUGCAAACCAACUCAGAGAAGGAAAAUAAUAGUCACGUUGGGGAGAUGAUGUCACUGGGUAAGGAAUCCUUUGUGUUCAAAUUGUGUGCUAUAAUGAGAGCUGGGUCUCAUUUUGUGGCCCUGGCUUGUUUGGCAUUUACUAGAUAGAACACACUGAUAUGCAACAUGGAACAAUUGUCUUGUUUCUACUUCCAGAUACUAAGAUUAUAGGUGUAUAUACCAUGCUCAGCCUAGAAGUCUGUUCUUCAUCUUGGGAGUGGUUGAGGCAGUACUCACACUUAAUAAAGUACAAAUACACAGUAUUGGUUUUGUUCCAUCUCAUUUAGUAGAGCCUCACCACAGACUUGCAGCUGUGGGUGACCAUUUUCCCUAUACUUGGAGACACUAGUAGAAUGAAGAACUUACUUUAUGAGAUUGAUUUCUGAAUUUGGUGUAAUUCCUUUGAUGGUAGCAGUAAUUUUUUUUUUAAUAGAGCGACAAUCUGACCUGAAAUUCAUUUGGGGAAAAAUUGUGCUAUUAACCAGGGAACUAGAAAGAAAGAGGAACAGAGUAGGAGAGGUACCAGCCCUGUGUGAUAGUGAUUAGCAGUCUUGUGUCACUUUAACAAAAUGACUGAGAGAAAAGGAGGAAUUUUAUUUUCCUGAGAAAGUGAAGGGAUCAGACCCUCAUCUAGCCCCCUGCUUUGGCAGCCAUAACAGGCUGCAGAAGAGAUCCAGCAAGAGGUAGUGUUGUUUUGCUACAGCUGCAGGUGAUGAAACACAAACCACAAAACUCAACCAAACCCACAUGGAGGAUGGAAGGGGAAGAAGGGAAGAGGUGAACAGGUGGUAGGCGCUCACUUAAAAGAGAAAGCUUGCAUAUACACAGUCCUUACGCAGCCACAUAAUGCAUGAUGUAGCCACACAGUACAGGGCCCUUUGAGCUGUCUAAGUAUCUGCAUGAAUGCCGGAGUGUGUAUCCUGACCAUUGUCAGGGGGCAGGGUCAGCAUAAUGCCUGAAUGCUUACAGGUAGGCCUCUGACUCAGCAACCAACAUGUGCUGAGCUUCCAACCUUGCCCCAGUCACUAGGAAGCCAGAUACCCACCAUGUGGCAAGGAACCAAUCAGAAGUUAGCUGGCAGACUCUGGAUGUUCUUUACAGUAACAGUGGAGUGCAGAGCAUAGCAACUGUCCUGGGAGGGCCUAUAGGCCAUAGCAACCUACCUGCAGCUGUAGUUGACCAAUCAACUCAGGACAGGUCACCCAAGCCCAGAAGCACACCAACCCUGAGACUGUUGUGGACCACAGACACUCCCCUUGCUCUACACCCCAAUAAAUUCCCUGGCCCAUGGUCCCUCUGGCUCCUUCUUGAUCCACCUGCUGUGUCACAUGGAAGACCCACGUUAAGGAGUGAGAUAGCAAUGACAUAGCCACCGCCUGUUGUCGGGGGCUGGGUCUGUCUCUUAAAGGGGUACUUUGCACCUGCGUGUAGACUAGCUCUCAUGGAACCCUGGGCUGACCAGGGUACUGCCGGAGUGCAUUCUGCCAGGUAACAGGGCAGGUGGGAAUUUGGAUUAGCCCACCAUCUGAAUUUGAGUAGCUAGCUACUGGGGCGAUCACCUCCCAUCCAUGAAUCUGAAACUUGUAAGUCUUUGAGAUGGGCCCUUUUGUGUAAGUGAUGUUGAAAGG